GCCUUUGUAGCUCAGGGGUUAGAGCGCUGGUCUUGUAAACCAGGAGUCAUGAGUUCAAACCUCAUCAAGGCGUCUGCU